AUAAAAUUUUGACGUAUCCAACUUUUAUUAGGCAUCAAUUCGCAUUUUAAAUACUUAUGAGACAUGAUAAAAACAAUGUAAAAUGAUGUGUAUCGUAACCUAUAUAUUAAUGAAUUGUAAAAUAACAUCUCGAGCAACAUCGUCAAACGGGAUCGGGCAAUAGCUGCACGGAAAGAAGUACGCACGCUGAGAGACGGCGCGACUGAGCAUCUUGAUUUUGAUACUCUUAAACACGGUGUAUUGGGAUGCACUGAUAUUCAGCAUGCUUGCACGAGAAAAAACGAUGCGCAAGAGUCGGUAGGGCACGCGUCGCCGCUCGCGCAGUUGCACCGUCCCUCAGCAUGCCUCACACUACUUCUUUCCGUGUGACAGUUCUACGCAUUGAUAUAGGUGGUUCGACAUCGCUACCGCGCAUGCGCGUCGUCGCUGCGACAUGUCGCGUCGGUCGGGCCCGCCCGCCGCCGCUGACCGGACGAGCGAGUUCGACAGCAGCGUUUUAAAGUAGUGCAUGUUUGGCUUUGUUCGUAACGGAUUUUUGGUUUUGUUCUACAUUCAAUGAUGUCAUUACGGUAGAGGUUAGGAUACCCAUUCGCCAGCAGUACGCCCCUGACCUUCCGUCAGACGAAAAUAUUAAGAGUCAAGAAGAAAGACGUCUUAAAUUGAUAGAUCUUUUUGAAAGACUUGAUCACGGCCAACCUGAAGUUUUGGAGUUAAUGGACAAGACUUAUGCAAUGCAGCGCAAAAGCAUUAAUGACGUAACAGGUGAAAUUAGUUUACUUAUGACUGAGUGGCCUUUUCUAACGGACGACAAAUGUUUAAUACAACAUGCUGAUAAAUUGAUGGGAAAAUGUAUUCUCACGACAUGGAAAAACUCGCUUGAAAAAAAAAGUGAAACCGAUAAGACAGUAUCUGAAGACUUGCCAUACUUUGAAAAGAAAUAAAAGUCAAGAACUAAAAGAUAUAAUUCAAGACUGCAAAGAAGCAACUGAAACAAGAAAAGAUAAUUAUCCUAUAAAUGCUAUUAUUUUUCCGCUUCUAGUAUUAUACUUUGAAGAAAAUAUAGAACUGCUAUACAAAAUCGUUGAUAGCGCACUUAAUGAGGAUGCUAUUCUGGAAACCUGCGCGAAUAAUAAUCAUCCUGUAUUGAUUGAUUAUUAGAGGUAAAACAUUGUACGAUUCAGAAAGCACCUGCAAUAUCAUUCUUGAAGGAAAAACUGUAAUCUACUGUUCAGAUUUCUCGGAUGGAAUUUUAUUAACAUUCUUCAGUUAUUAUAUUUUUUGGUUAUAAGUAUCCAGCAGGCUUGGAAAAAACUCUAGAAUACAUUCAAAGGAUUUUAUUGCAAAUUAACCCUCCAAUAGGAACGAAGACUGCUCCAGGAAAGAAAAUACGCACAAAAUCCUACAACAGUGCCGUGUUUAGUCUAGCUAAAGCUUUGUCUAACUUUUCGGAUUCUUUUAAAACAACCUAAUACGCCAGAUAAUUAGUGAGAUUUUAAUUUAAGCAUGCGAGAGAAUGUAUAAAAAUAUUCGAACUACCGUUAAUAAUCAGCAAGUAUUUUGACUUUUUUUGAGAUCGUUGCUAUUUAAUUGCAAGUAACUGUGUAAAGCUGUUUAUUUAAUAUUUAUUUAUUGAACUAUGUAUUCUUUUUCUGCAAUACAUAAAUAUUACUCUUAUAAAAAUAGUGUUUAUUAAACACGUUUCCAACAGAAAUUAAAACAACAAUAUCAUUAUUAAGCGCA
rnacentral:lncRNA from 1 species